CUGUUCUGCUGCAGAAAUACUCUCUUUUAAACCUUCCUAAAAACAUACACCAGACUCCUGCAAGUUUCUGCCCUACGUUUUUGCCUUGCACUUUUUGGAACUAGCCCCAGAAGCUCCUCACCAUGUCUGGAUCACUAGCCAGCAGCUUGCCCAGGGACUGCUCAGUCAGAAGCACAGCCUUUAGAAUUUGACGUCGCUACAUGUGGUCAUAGUGAAGAUCAAGGAAUCUUCUUUUCACCAUCUCUUGAAGACAUGGAAGGAUACAGGCUUCAGCACAUGGGAAUGAAAGCUUGCAUAACAAGAGGUCCUGUGAAAAUAGAGGAGGACCUUGUCCCUGCUUCAGGCUGUGAAGGGCAGUACUUGAAGAGUGCGAAUUAUUAACAUGUGCAUGACAUGAAGGCUCAGACAUUUCAGAGGAGAGGGAUGGGAGACACGUAUUCGUAUGCAAUAGAAUCCUUCCCUCACAUGGCACAAGCUUGAACAAAAUUGCAGCCCCCAUGCAAGCUGUGUUUGUGGAGGUGCUUGAGAGUAGAGAUGAAAACCUAUCGUGUGCUUUGUCUCUUUGAGAAGCUCCAGUUGCAUGAAGAUACUUCUAUGGAUCAACAUGAUAAUAUUUUAAAAGUAACUCUGUCUUUCUGUAGUAGCCAGAAGCACCCAUCUUUUUCAUACCACCUCCACCCCCCAAACCAUAAGCACCAUGAGACUUGCAAUGAAAUCCUGGGAAUGGCAAGGCUAGCACCAGAGGUGACCAUCAGUUUUGGAAUUUAAAUCCAGUAACUCUGUCUAUUAAACUUGUACUGGUUACAGAAUAAAUUCUCUAAUUGAAGUGCCAUUGUCUAGCCUGGAAUUCAUCAGCUUCCUCUGCAGCAGCUGGUAGGCAUCCCUUCCAAAGCAGAAAGCACCACACUGACAAUGGCAAGCCCUGGCUCCUCUACAGUAGUGCCUCCUAACAAACAUCUCUGGUGCUAAGUAGGCAGGGAGACAGUGAAGUUGUGCUCCCUUCCUGCAGGACUCCUGUAUCAAAUACAUCAGAAAAAAAAAUCGUGCAUAAAAACAAUGAAAUAGCAUGUUUAGUCAUUUUGAAACAGAGAGCUUCUCUUC